CAGGGCGUGGCUGAGGCAGACAAGCAUCUCCCUUACACCGAGAAGACAUCCAUGCAAAUUGGGUCGCCCUGA
rnacentral:tRNA from 1 species